rnacentral:rRNA from 1 species
GAUUGCGNAUGGACGAAAGUCUGACGCAGCCAUGCCGCGUGCAGGAUGACGGCCCUACGGGUUGUAAACUGCUUUUAUACAGGAAGAAACCCCUCAACGUGUUGAGGAUUGACGGUACUGUAGGAAUAAGCAUCGGCUAACUCCGUGCCAGCAGCCGCGGUAAUACGGAGGAUGCAAGCGUUAUCCGGAUUUAUUGGGUUUAAAGGGUGCGUAGGCGGGACUGUAAGUCAGUGGUGAAAGUUUGCAGCUUAACUGUAAAAUUGCCAUUGAUACUGUAGUUCUUGAGUACGGUUGAGGUAGGCGGAAUGUGUAAUGUAGCGGUGAAAUGCUUAGAUAUUACACAGAACACCGAUUGCGUAGGCAGCUUACUAAGCCGCAACUGACGCUGAGGCACGAAAGCGUGGGGAUCGAACAGGAUUAGAUACCCUGGUAGUCCACGCUGUAAACGAUGAUCACUAGCUGUUGGCGAUAGACCGAUCAGCGGCAAAGCGAAAGCAUUAAGUGAUCCACCUGGGGAGUACGGUCGCAAGAUUGAAACUCAAAGAAAUUGACGGA